rnacentral:rRNA from 1 species
CAGCCGCCGCGGUAAUACGUAUGUCACAAGCGUUAUCCGGAUUUAUUGGGCGUAAAGCGCGUCUAGGUGGUUAUGUAAGUCUGAUGUGAAAAUGCAGGGCUCAACUCUGUAUUGCGUUGGAAACUGUGUAACUAGGGUACUGGAGAGGUAAGCGGAACUACAAGUGUAGAGGUGAAAUUCGUAGAUAUUUGUAGGAAUGCCGAUGGGGAAGCCAGCUUACUGGACAGAUACUGACGCUGAAGCGCGAAAGCGUGGGUAGCAAACAGGAUUAGAUACCCCUGUAGUCCCUGUCUCUUAUACA